GAUGAAGAACGCAGCGAAAUGCGAUACUUGGUGUGAAUUGCAGAAUCCCGUGAACCAUCGAGUCUUUGAACGCAAGUUGCGCCCGAAGCCAUCAGGUUGAGGGCACGUCUGCCUGGGCGUCACAUAUCGUUGCCCAAUGCCUAUUGCAGUGCAAUAGGAAUUUCUAGGGGGAAUGAUGGCUUCCCGUGAGCGUUGUUGCCUCGCGGUUGGUUGAAAAUCGAGUCCUUGGUAGGGUGUGCCAUGGUAGAUGGUGGUCGAGUUAGAACGAUACCGAUCAUGUGCAUGCUCCCCAAAAUAUGGCCUCUAUGACCCACACGCGUCUUUUGACGCUCAUGACGAGACCUCAGGUCAGGCGGGGCUACCCGCUGAAUUUAAGCAUAUCAAUAAGCGGAGGA
rnacentral:misc_RNA from 1 species